rnacentral:rRNA from 1 species
GAUUGAACGCUGGCGGCAGGCUUAACACAUGCAAGUCGAGCGGAGAGARGUAGCUUGCUACUGAUCUUAGCGGCGGACGGGUGAGUAAUACUUAGGAAUCUGGCUAUUAGUGGGGGACAACAUUUCGAAAGGGAUGCUAAUACCGCAUACGUCCUACGGGAGAAAGCAGGGGAUCAGUAAUGACCUUGCGCUAAUAGAUGAGCCUAAGUCGGAUUAGCUAGUUGGUGGGGUAAAGGCCUACCAAGGCGACGAUCUGUAGCGGGUCUGAGAGGAUGAUCCGCCACACUGGGACUGAGACACGGCCCAGACUCCUACGGGAGGCAGCAGUGGGGAAUAUUGGACAAUGGGGGGAACCCUGAUCCAGCCAUGCCGCGUGUGUGAAGAAGGCCUUAUGGUUGUAAAGCACUUUAAGCGAGGAGGAGGGURCUGGUAUUAAUACUACCAGCUACUGGACGUUACUCGCAGAAUAAGCACCGGCUAACUCUGU